UCAGACGAUGCGUCAUGCAUAUCAAUAAGCGGAGGAAAAGAAACUAACAAGGAUUCCCUUAGUAACGGCGAGUGAAGCGGGAAGAGCUCAAAUUUGAAAUCUUCAAGGUUUUACCUUGACGAAUUGUAGUUUAAAGAAGUGUUUUCUGUUGAAGUUUUGGUAAAAGUUCUUUGGAAUAGGACAUCAUAGAGGGUGAGAAUCCCGUAUUUGACCAUUAUUUUCAGCUGUGUGAUACACUUUCAAAGAGUCGGAUUGUUUGGGAAUGCAGUCCAAAAUGGGUGGUAAAUUUCAUCUAAAGCUAAAUAUUGGCGAGAGACCGAUAGCGAACAAGUACCGUGAGGGAAAGAUGAAAAGAACUUUGAAAAGAGAGUUAAACAGUACGUGAAAUUGUCAAAAGGGAAGCGUUUGACACCAGUGUUGUUUUCUCGAAAAUCAAUUAAAAAGAGUUGGAUUUUGUGUUGUAUUGACCUUAACAGCUUGCUUCACUCUUUUCCUGCUUUUUUUAAUGCACUUUUCGUUUAACAAGUCAACAUCAGUUUCUUUUGUUGUAAAAGGGUCAUUGGAAGAUGGCUUUCUCUUCGGAGAAAGUGUUUAUAGCCUUUGAUCUCUGCAAUCGGAGAGACUGAGGUCUGCAGCGUAGAUCCUUCGGGGUUAGAUACAUUUGUGCUAAGCUACAGCUUUUCAUAGACAACUUGUUGACUAUGUUUAGUCUUGUAACUUACCCGCUUAUGCUAUUUUACCUACGCUUAGGAUGUUGAUAUGCAUGACUGAUAU
rnacentral:rRNA from 1 species